rnacentral:rRNA from 1 species
CAGCAGCCGCGGUAAUACGGAGGGAGCUAGCGUUGUUCGGAAUUACUGGGCGUAAAGCGCACGUAGGCGGCUACUUAAGUCGGGGGUGAAAGCCCGGGGCUCAACCCCGGAACUGCCCUCGAAACUAGGUAGCUAGAAUCUUGGAGAGGUCAGUGGAAUUCCGAGUGUAGAGGUGAAAUUCGUAGAUAUUCGCAAGAACACCAGUGGCGAAGGCGACUGACUGGACAAGUAUUGACGCUGAGGUGCGAAAGCGUGGGGAGCAAACAGGAUUAGAUACCCCAGUAGUCCCUGUCUCUUAUAC